CCCUUAGAUGUUCUAGGCUGCACCCGUGCUACACUGGCAGGUUCAGCGAGCUUCAUGCCCUGAUCUGAAAGGAAUGGGAAAUCUUUUCAAAACCUGCCGUGCUUGGGAUAGAUGUUUGCAAUUAUUCAUCUUCAACGAGGAUUGCCUUGUAAGCGCACGUCAUCAGCGUGCAUUGAAUACGACCCUGUAUUCUGUACACACCGCCCGUCGCUCCUACCGAUUGAAGUUUUCGGUGAGUUGACAGGAGGAUUUUUUUGAAACUGGUUCGCCAGUGGAUUUUAGAUCCAAAUGCCAACGAAUCGAUGGCUUUAGAGGAAGGAGAAGUCGUAACA
rnacentral:rRNA from 1 species